rnacentral:misc_RNA from 1 species
CUGGUAUAGGAAACGGAUCAAUCGCAUGUCCUAAGUAGUACAAGCUAGAGCCGGUAGAUGGCCGAGUUUAAUAACCUUUACGUAAUACUGAUCAGGUGAAGUGCGGGUGGGUGGGGUGUGGCAAAGUCUAAAUGCUCAAGGUCAUUGAGAAGGGGGAGCCUCUUAAUCGAAAGGUGUUUAUUUGAGAUAACUACGACGUACCUUCGUUGUAUUUAUACCGCAUAACUUUCUACUGGAUGUACCGAUUUUGAUAAUUCUUUUUUUGUUGGAAAGAAAAUAUCCCUAGUUUAGUACCAUGAUAAGGAAACCAGGAUCUGAUGAUGGGAUCCUAGAGAAAUCGAAGGAACUUCUUGAAAAUCCGCAAUAACUUUUUUCUGGGUGUACCGAUUUUAAUAAUUUUUAAUUUAAUCGAAAGCUGAUGUUUGUCAUGUGGUCACAUAUAAAUUUUAUUGAGAUCUGAUAACUACUUUUUGAGUAAUCUUUGAUAACGCGUAGUUACUUUACUAUUUUUUCGUCGAUCUACGUUGUAAUAC